AGAGAAGAAAGAUGGUAAGAUCCACAGGGUUCCAUACGUGAAACCAGCGCCCCAAUCCCCUUCAGAAGGUUGGACUGAGGAGACACCGAGAUCAUGUGGGAUAAAAGUGAGAUGAAUCUUCUGUCAGUUGACCCAAAGAAUGGGCAAGCAGACCGGAGUGCAGGGAAAGAAGAGGAAGCCCUGAUGUAGUUCCGAGCUUCCUCCUGAGGGAAGAAGUGCAAAGAGGCCGGAAGGUUUCAGAACAACCAGCAAAGUCGGUGAAGUAGAGUGAAUCCAAAAAUUCAGCAAACGACAAACCCGAAAGGAGACACGCCAGCUGCUCCCACUGGAAAGUUACCGAACGUUUAUUUUGGUUCAAGUUUUAUUUUUAUAUGAAUAAGGAACAAUAAGUUUUCUAUGGGGGUGGGGAGUCAUUCCUU
rnacentral:lncRNA from 1 species